ACAGCAGCGGCCGACGGCGGCGCUCCUCCAACGAGCCACUGACCACCGAACGAGCUGCAGCAGCUCCAGGCCGCGACUCCGGCGAAACAGCAGCGGUAGUUGGCGGCGACUUCGGACGAGCUAACGGCGGCGGCGUUCCUCCAGCAGGCGUUUUGACCACCGAUCUCAGACAGCAGCGGCAACAGCAACACCUGUCGGCGGCGGUUGCGCCGGAUCCUUCGCGGGUCUCAGGCGGCGGCGGCAGAUCGCGUGAGAGGGUGAGAUGUGCGUCUGUGUGUGCGUUUCUUUGAAGAGAGAGAUCUGAAAUUGUGUGGGUGAGAGAAUAGUAUGGACCGUGUUUGAGGGAGAAGAAGAUGGAGUUGGGCCAAUUCUUUGGGCUUUAUUUAUUUUAGUAUUUGGGCUGUGAUUUGGGCCUUUUAUUAAUUCAUUUGGGUCUUGUAUUUUAUUUUCUUUGGGCCAAUUCUUUAAAUUAUGUGGGCUGCAGAUUUAAUUGAUUGGGCCCAGUUUCUUUUAUUUUAA
rnacentral:lncRNA from 1 species